CCUACGGGGGGCUGCAGUGGGGAAUAUUGGACAAUGGGGGGAACCCUGAUCCAGCCAUGCCGCGUGUGUGAAGAAGGCCCUCGGGUUGUAAAGCACUUUCAGUGAGGAAGAACGCCUGGUGGUUAAUACCCAUCAGGAAAGACAUCACUCACAGAAGAAGCACCGGCUAACUCCGUGCCAGCAGCCGCGGUAAUACGGAGGGUGCGAGCGUUAAUCGGAAUUACUGGGCGUAAAGCGCGCGUAGGUGGCUUGAUAAGCCGGUUGUGAAAGCCCCGGGCUCAACCUGGGAACGGCAUCCGGAACUGUCAAGCUAGAGUGCAGGAGAGGAAGGUAGAAUUGCCGGUGUAGCGGUGAAAUGCGUAGAGAUCGGGAGGAAUACCAGUGGCGAAGGCGGCCUUCUGGACUGAUACUGACACUGAGGUGCGAAAGCGUGGGUAGCAAACAGGAUUAGAUACCCUUGUAGUC
rnacentral:rRNA from 1 species